AUAGAUUUUUUCAAGUCAAUGUUUUUGAAUUGGAGAUGCUAUUUACACUAAGGUGGUAACGUGAAAGCUGGGCAAGAUUGGUAAAAUUGAACCAGAUUGCUAUUCAUAGAUCUACAGAUAGCAGCCAAGUUGAGCAGUUUUGGAGCCUAUCGAUCCACCAAAUUGAGCCAUGCUUCAUAGGUUGUAUGACUUUAUUAGAUUACACAGUACAUGUUUCUUUGGGAUACAUGCAGUUAUGUUAGAAAAUGUUAUCAUUGGUUCUCUACAUAUUUGAUAUCUUUAAUACAUUUGAG